rnacentral:rRNA from 1 species
AUUCGCUGGGCUGUCCAUCUGGACAUUCUGGCUACAGAAUUUCUUGACGACCAUAGAGCAUUGGAACCACCUGAUCCCAUCCCGAACUCAGCAGUGAAACGAUGCAUCGCCGAUGGUAGUGUGGGGUUUCCCCAUGUGAGAGUAGGUCAUCGUCAAGA